rnacentral:lncRNA from 1 species
UAAUGGCUGUACUAAUUUACAUUCCGACCAAAAGCAUGCAAGUGUUUCCAAAUUGGGAUUGUGAUUCUCCUAAAGGAAGCUUGCAGAUUCUUAGCUAAAGACCUUUAGUUAUAUCAUCUGGAUGAAAUAUUCAAGGUUCUUGUAAUCACCUCUUCUAACCUCACUCUCUCUUUACAAAAUGAUAAAAUUUCCACUAGCUUAGAGGUGGG